rnacentral:lncRNA from 1 species
GAAUGGAUUGAUCACUAUCCUCCAUGACGAUCCUUCAAUCAGGAGCAUUUAAAAAUUAAUCAAUAAUAAUGUAUGUCUCAAAUUCUCAACACUUUGAGAAUAUACAAAAUCAUCUUUGUUAAUUCUGAGGACAAAUCAUGGAUACAUAUGAUAUGAUUGGUUAUAAAGACUACCUGUCAAGUACAAAAUAUGCCCUAGAGAAUAGCAUGUGUCAGCCAAGA